AAGGUAGCAUAAUCAUUUGCCCUUUAAUUUGGGGCUUGUAUGAAUGGAUGAACGAGGGAAAUGCUGUCUCUCUAGUACAAAUAGAAAUUAGCUUUUAGGUGAAGAUACCUGAAUAACGAUAAAGGACAAGAAGACCCUAUUGAGCUUCACUCACGUGGGCCUUUAAUGGGGUUAAUGUUUGAGAUUGGUUGGGGCGACGUAGGACAUCCAUGACUUCCUAUACAAGAGUGGCUAGCUUGCCUUCAUUGAUCCGGAUGGCGAUUAAAGAAUAGAGUUACCAUAGGGAUAACAGGCUAAUUCUCCUUGAGAGCUCAUAUUGACAGGAGAGGUUGGCACCUCGAUGUUGGCUUAGGGCACCCAGUUGGUGUAGCCGCUAGCAAAGGUGGGCUUGUUCAGCCUUUAAAGCCCUACGUGAUC
rnacentral:rRNA from 1 species